rnacentral:rRNA from 1 species
GACGUAGGGCGCGAGCGUUGUCCGGAUUUAUUGGGCGUAAAGAGCUCGUAGGCGGCUUGUCGCGUCGUUCGUGAAAACCUGCAGCUCAACUGCAGGCUUGCGGUCGAUACGGGCAGGCUGGAGUUCGGUAGGGGAGACUGGAAUUCCUGGUGUAGCGGUGAAAUGCGCAGAUAUCAGGAGGAACACCGGUGGCGAAGGCGGCAUCCUGGACCGGCAUUGACGCUGAGGCGCGAAAGCCAGGGGAGCAAACGGG